AUAAACACUUACGUUAGCGGUUGACGAGCAUUGCGAUUUUUAGCGGGAUAAGUUGUUAGAGUAAGUAAAAAGUAAAUCUAGGUGAAAGAAGAGCAAUAAGCGUAAAAAAAAGUAAAAAAGACGUGAAAGAGUGAGGAAAUAGGGUGAGAGAGGCGAAAAUAUAUAUAAAAUUAAUAUAAGAAAUUACACGAAUAUUCAAGUUCAAUAUCUAACAUGGACAGCAAAAAGUGCGGGUUUUGCAGACAAGAAGGUCAUACGAGGAAUAAUUGUCCUGAUAUAAGAAGGUGCGGAAUUUGCAGAGAAGAAGGUCAUACAAGGAAUAAUUGUCCUGAUAUAAGAAGGUGCGGAAUUUGCAGAGAAGAAGGUAAUGUGAGA